UACGUAGGGUGCAAGCGUUAUCCGGAAUUAUUGGGCGUAAAGGGCUCGUAGGCGGUUUGUCGCGUCGGGAGUGAAAACUCAGGGCUUAACCCCUGAGCCUGCUUCCGAUACGGGCAGACUAGAGGUAUGCAGGGGAGAACGGAAUUCCUGGUGUAGCGGUGGAAUGCGCAGAUAUCAGGAGGAACACCAAUAGCGAAGGCAGCUCGCUGGGACGUAAGCUGACGCUGAGGAGCGAAAGCAUGGGGAGGCGAACAGG
rnacentral:rRNA from 1 species